AACUUUCAGCAACGGAUCUCUUGGCUCUCGCAUCGA
rnacentral:rRNA from 1 species